rnacentral:lncRNA from 1 species
AAGUGGAGUAUCAGAGUUCUUCCAUGUAGGUACAAAACCAUCUGGAAAUCUAUCACCCUUGACAACAUCUACGGCAGCAAAGGACUCGAGUUCUGUCAUUUCUUGUGGUGUAAGUUUCACAGACAAGGCUCCAAUGUUGUCAUUAAAGUUCUCAAUUUUGGUGGUUCCGGGUAUGGGGCAGACAUCAUUGCCUUGGUGGUGAAGCCAUGCCAAUGCAAGCUGAGAUGGAGUACAUCCUUUCUUCAUGGCGAUUUCGUUAACCCUCUCGAAUAUAGUCUUGUUUGUCUCCAGGUUUUCAGGUUGGAAUCUAGGCAGAGCCUGCAACACAACACACAACAUAAGAUUUUAUAGUUUAUGUAUCAUUAUGAACAUUUGAAAAACAUAAUAUAGUAAGAUGCAGUGUUAUACAGGGAAAACUGUUAAAUUUGGAUUUGGUAUGUGUUAUGAAGUCAAUAUAUAUUACCAUAUAUCUUUUUAAGGACACUGAUUAACAAAAUCCUAACAAUAAUAAUAGUACUAGGUAAGUUAUCCACUAAAGUUUGACUUUGUUAAAAUUUGUUAAAAACACCAAGUUUUGAAGUAGAUGAAAAAGUUUGUCUCAGCAAAUGAAUAAGAGUUCUCUGGCUUCCAGUUUUGCUUCUCUAAGUUUAUUUAUUAUCAAUGUAACCAAUGAACAAAAUCUUAUAUAUCUGCUCUAUAAGAUGAUUACCAAUUAACAAACUUCGAUUCAAUUUCUAACCCAAAAAUUGUAUUAAGAACAAGCCAUUUUAAUUUAUAAGAAUAUUCGUUUUUUAAAUAGAAUAUUCCAUUAUCUUAAACGUUAUACUCACGGUACGGACUUUAUUGAAAAAAAAUUAACGUAUAGAGACUCAAUUAAAAGGAAAAAAAGUAUAAAGACCUAAUUGAAAAUUUUGCGAAAUUAUAGGAAUCAACAGACUAAUUAAACCUUAUUAUUAUGACACUUUUAAUGUAUGUUUAUUGCAUUUAAUUAGUACUUGAUGUUUCAAUUGAAUAAUAAUAGAUAUUAGUUUUUAUUUAUUAUAAAUAAAUAGAUAGAUAGAUUCUCUUUUUCAACCAAAAAUAAAUUAAGAUUACUAUUAUUAGAUAAUUUUAAAUAUUUUGUUUUAACUUUUAAUAAAUGCAUAACAAUUGUAUUAAAAAUCAAACUUUACACAAUUUUUUAUAAUAAACUUCUUGAUUAAUAUCUUUAUCGGACACAUAUUAGCCAAACCCUUUAUUAAUAGUCACUGGCAUGUGAAUUUUCUGGAUUGUCAAAAUCUUCACUACUACAAUCAACUGCAAGUUGACCACUAUCUGCAACUGAAUAAGGACUCUUUUUUCAUUGGCACAAAUUCUCCAUAAACCCUUAUUUUAUGUAUAGGCAGCAGAAUCCAAAAACCACUUCAAAGUUAAGAAUAUACAAAAUCAGCAGCUAGAAAUUUGGAAGGUUCACUGAUGUAACCAAAUUCAUUUCAAAAGGGAACACAUACAUGCCCUUCAUACUGAUCUAUUUAUUGAAAGUAACCAACACUCUUGAAGGUGCAAUGAUAAAAUAAACAUUGUGAUGAACAUGAUUAAACAGCUUUCCGAGAAGAAAGUGGUGGAGUAUCAGAGUUCUUCCAUGUAGCUAACAUAUCCUCUGCAUAUCUAUCACCCUUGACAACAUCUGCGGUAGCAAAGGACUCGAGUUCUGUCAUUUCUUCCCGUGUAAGUUUCACAGACAAGGCUCCAAUGUUGUCAUUAAAGUUCUCAAUUUUGGUGGUUCCAGGUAUGGGGCAGACAUCAUUGCCUUGGUGGUGAAGCCAUGCCAAUGCAAGCUGAGAUGGAG